rnacentral:lncRNA from 1 species
UGUGGCUUCCCAUGUCCUGCCUCAUGGUGCUCCAGCCUGUAAGUCACAGUGCUAAGAAGUGACAGAAGUGACCACAGACCAACACCUCUAAAGCAGAAGGCCAAGUAUGUCAAGUUGACAGCUGACACCAACUAUGACAGAUCAUUUGGAAAGAGGGAGACCAACAGAAGAGGAAGAAGUGAAGGUCUUUGAGAUGAUUAUAUUUAUUGAGACCUAUUCCAUACAUUGACAAAGGAAGAAUUGCAUGUCAUUUUUAAAUGGACCAUCAAGCUUGAUCUGAAGACUGGACACCAGGGUGCUGCUGCAUCAUUGAAGACUUCC